rnacentral:ncRNA from 1 species
AUCUUCAGGGCAGGGUGAAAUUCCCUACCGGCGGUAAAGCCCGCGAGCUAAUUUAGCAUGAUUCGGUGAAAUUCCGAGGCCGACAGUAAAGUCUGGAUGAAAGAAGAUA